rnacentral:rRNA from 1 species
UACGUAGGGGGCAAGCGUUGUCCGGAUUUACUGGGCGUAAAGAGCGUGUAGGCGGCCAAGCAGGUCCGUUGUGAAAACUGGAGGCUUAACCUCCAGACGUCGACGGAAACCGCGUGGCUAGAGUCCGGAAGAGGAGAGUGGAAUUCCUGGUGUAGCGGUGAAAUGCGCAGAUAUCAGGAAGAACACCAAUGGCGAAGGCAGCUCUCUGGGACGGUACUGACACUGAGACGCGAAAGCGUGGGGAGCGAACAGG